GCACUUGAACUUUUAUCCAGUUGCAUAAGGGAGAAGGCAGGCAAAGACCGAUAGUUCAUCUAGCACUCAAACUCUAAAGCUCCCUAAAAUGAAUAUGGAUCAGGGAGGAGGCGGCAGCAGUAGGAACCAGGUCAAAAAGGUCUCGACAUUUCUGACAAUACAAUUAUUGGAGGUGAACGCUCCAAGACUGUUGGGAUCCGCAGAGUUGGCAACACCAGACCUGACGAAGGCUCCAGCUGUUGCUGCAUCCUAUAAUUUAGGAGAAGAAGAAGCGGAACCAAAGUUAGCAUAAACCAAUUGAGAAGGACAUGAUCAAUAAAAAGGAGGAAAAAAAGGUCUGUUCUUCCAUGUUUUAAGGUUUAAUGGUGUGUAUUCCAUGUACGAAAAUAAGAGCUGAUAGAGCAAAGAUCUAGGCUUGUAGGCCUCUUAUUAUGAUUAAUUAAUAUUGUAUAAUAUUAUUGUAAUUACAUUCCUUUUGUUUCGUUUGUACCAAGUUUGUUGGGACAUUCUAUCUUCUAAUGUUGCUUGCAA